GUCUGUGGCCAUACCUCCCUGUACGCACCCGAUCUUGUCUGAUCUUGGAAGCUAAGCAGGGUUGGGCCUGGUUAGUACUGGAGUUCCCACUGUGGCUCAGUGGAAACGAACU
ensembl:rRNA 5S_rRNA 5S ribosomal RNA